rnacentral:sRNA from 1 species
CCACCCAAUGCGCCCCCUACACCGGCUUCGGUGUUACUGCCUGCAGAGGCAGCGCCUGUCACCAGGCCAAGGGUCAACAAAAGUAUCGAGGGAAAUUUCAUCGAUCAGAUCUCAGAGGGAUGACGGCGCGACUUUGCUAUGCGAUCGGUCGUCCGACAAGCGCGAUGUGAUGGAAAGCGCGAUAAGUACGCAAUUCUGAGAUUCUGAAGUUUCAUGGGGAAACUUUGAGCGGGGAGGGCGGUCGCAGGUACUUGCGGAGUGGCGUCUUUUGGUUGAGAUCGAGAUCAAGAUCAAGAGCUACGCGGCUUGCGCCGCUGCUACAGGGUGGGUGUGAUCCCUGUAACAGCGGCGCAAGC